rnacentral:sRNA from 1 species
ACCAUUUUGAGCUAUUGGGUUUAAUGAAACGCAGCGUUUCAUGCUGCUGCAUUGAAGGGAAGCUGAGCACCGGCAAAGGAGCUCAAUCAUUUGGGAUUUUCCCCAAUUCCCUAACCCAGUAACUAGGGUUCAUGAGAAGAGAAUCGGAGUAGAACUAAUAGAGGUUCACGACCCAAAAUGAAGUUGGCCUAGAAACUAAUCAGCCAGGAGGAUGACUGGUCUGAUGAAGCGUGCUGAGCUGGAACAGUUGAAGAGCAAAGCAGGUCGUGGUCAGAGUUAGUUGAAGGAGUUGAUUCGAUAUGCUUCUACCGUUAUUCGGUUCUUCCCCUUUCCCCUAUUUCUUUGAUUUUCUUUCUUUUUUCUGUUUGGAUUUUCCCUUUAAAAAGGGAAGUUUUGUAAUGAACAAAGUGUGCAUUGGGUGACAGACAGUGCACGGCCGUGGGUGACAGACGCUACCUAGCUUAGGGUUUUCAUUUUCGUCUAGUUUCAUUCUCGUAGUGUAGAUUCUGAUACUCUUGGACUGUUGAUCGAGCAAUCACGGUGGUGACAACCCGUGAUCUUCUCAGCUUUGCUUCCAUGGUGUUUUCUAUUAUGUU